rnacentral:rRNA from 1 species
AUUGAACGCUGGCGGCAGGCCUAACACAUGCAAGUCGAGCGAGCGGCGGCCGGGUGAGUAAUGUAUGGGGACUGCCCGAUAGAGGGGGAUUACUACUGGAACAGGUAGCUAAUACCGCAUAUUAUUGGAAAACCAAUAUGGGAGUAGCUAGUAGGUGAGGAAAUGGCUCACCUAGACGACGAUCCCAAGCUGGUCUGCAAGGCUGACCAGCCACACUUGGACUGAGACACGGCCCAGACUCCUCCGGAGGCAGCAGUGGGGAAUAUUGCACAAUGGGCGCAAGCCUGAUGCAGCCAUGCCGCGUGUAUGAAGAAGUCCCUAGGGUUGUAAAGUACUUUCAGUCGGGAGGCGUUACCGACAGAAGAAGCACCGGCUAACUCCGUGCCAGCAGCCGCGGUAAUAC